rnacentral:lncRNA from 1 species
AGUUGAGAGCAGGCCCAGGGCAGAAGGGAGGCAGGGGCAUUAAGAGCUCAGGCCUCCAGCUGAGGGACUGCAGAUGUUGGGUAAGCUGACCCUGGAAUUAACAGGCUCACACCUUGGAGGGGGCAGUCCCAUAGCAGGCUCCCACCCUGCCCUUCAGAGUUGCAGCAGACUCAUGGAGGCAACCACUCAAGGUCACUCUGAGAAGGGUUGAACGUGCUUUAUUAAAAGGACUGAGGAUCAUGUGUGUUGGUGUGUCCCGGAGUCUGCUCUAAGGUAAAUAUGUGUGUGUGUGUGUUGGGGGGGCAGGGGUUGUGCCUGUAAUCCUGUGUGUGUGACCUCCUUAUUAGAGGAUUUUUGUUCAUUAAAGUAGGAGUGUGAA